AAAUUGAAGAGUUUGAUCAUGGCUCAGAUUGAACGCUGGCGGCAGGCCUAACACAUGCAAGUCGAACGGUAACAGGAAUCAGCUUGCUGAUUCGCUGACGAGUGGCGGACGGGUGAGUAAUGUCUGGGAAACUGCCUGAUGGAGGGGGAUAACUACUGGAAACGGUAGCUAAUACCGCAUAAUGUCGCAAGACCAAAGAGGGGGACCUUCGGGCCUCUUGCCAUCGGAUGUGCCCAGAUGGGAUUAGCUUGUAGGUGGGGUAACGGCUCACCUAGGCGACGAUCCCUAGCUGGUCUGAGAGGAUGACCAGCCACACUGGAACUGAGACACGGUCCAGACUCCUACGGGAGGCAGCAGUGGGGAAUAUUGCACAAUGGGCGCAAGCCUGAUGCAGCCAUGCCGCGUGUAUGAAGAAGGCCUUCGG
rnacentral:rRNA from 1 species